AAGAAGGGAAAAUCAAUCCAUCACCAGUACUUCAUUAUAGCUUUCUCUCCCCCACUUCUCCCAUCUGUGUUUAUUUUGCAUCGUUUUGUCAAACGGAUCCUAAAGAGAAUAUUUUAACUGCAAUCAAGUGCAGAUUGUGCAGCAGUCGCUACAGAUAUGAAAAGGCAGCUGCAUAAAAGAUUUUCCUCUGCCUGAACAUUUCCAAAGAACAGUAGAGGGUACGCAGCAGAGGUAUCUGCCACCGUGUCAUCAUUAAGAUCUCCUCUGACAUCUCAGACAGGAAGGUGGCGGCGGCAGGGAGCGGAACAUUUCCAGGAGAAUUUGCCACAAACCUGUUUUCAUCCUGUGCAAGGGUUUGCAUUCUAGUGAGGAGCCGGCAUCGCAAGUCAAACGCAAGCAGAUAAGGCUUUUUGCAUCUCGCUGCGGAGCCGCGUUCACACCCCGGCAGCCCCGCGGUCCCCGGCGGGCGCCCGGCGGGUCCCUCCCGGCGCUGCGCGGGGCUCGCCGCGGCUCCUCUCCCCGGCUCGCUCGCUCUUUGAGGAAAGUCGCUUGGAUGUGCAUCACUUCAGGCUUUGAAGCAACACCGAAAAGAUCUUCAGAUACUAGUUCGGAGGAGCACCCCAGCCCCUUGCUUUGCACCCUCAUUUGGGGUAAAUACCAUGAAUACGGUAUAUAAUUUUAUAAGCACAUCUUUUAAUAGUGCCCCAGUCACUGUAGAUUGUACACAACACGUAUGCUGCAACUCUGUAAUGUGAGAUCUGCUGGUGGUAUAUGAUACUUGCUUAUAAAAAUUGUCACAGCAAGGUUUCCUGAAGCUAACAUAGCUUCCCAGCCUUAAGGCAUCCAAAUAAAGAGUUUUGUCAUUUAAUACUGGUAAGUGCUUAGCAUUUAUUGAGCACAGAUUCAGGCCUUUCACGUUUCACCAAGUUCUUUAAUUUUUACAUAUCUACAUAUACUUAGAAAUCUCAAGCCUUUCUAAGAAGAGGCAGCUAUUAACCCUAUUUUUUAAAGUGAGGUAAUGUGCUCUUCAAGUACAAAUCUGUGAACAAAGACUGAGGAAAGAAAAAAAGAAUGUGCUAACAAUAAUAACAAUAAAUGCAAAACCUCAGAGAUGAGCCAUAUAAAAAUAAAAAGGAAAUCAAAACCAGACCUUAUUUUAUUCUUCUUUCAUUGUCAUUUAUAUUAAAUGCCCUGGGGGGGGUGUUAGUUAUAAAUGGCAAAAGCAAAAUUGCAUAUUCCCGUAACUUCUCUUGUUUGGAAAAAAAAUAAACAAAACUAACAUUUAUGGUUGUUUAUAAUGAGUGAGAUUUAGGUCAGAUGAGUCUUAACAAGAGCCCUGGGAGCUGUACCUGGAGGUGUACCAUUUGCUGGGCUGGCUACUGUCUAAGCAUGGAUGGGUGGAAUUAAAGAGUUAUCACGAACCAGCUCCAGAGUUGGUAGAAGCAAGGACAUAUAUUUAUUUAAAGGAUACAGAUCAGAUAAUAACUGCAUUAAGAAAAAAAAAAGAAGGAAAGGAGCCUCCUCCCCUGCUCAUGGUUUAUCUGCCAGGAACAGUUUACUGCUUCCCUACAGCCACCCAUGAAAUCUGACGCCAGGAACAGGCUCCUCUCCUGCUGUGGUGCUGGGAAUAUCAGAGUUCCCAGGGCCACAGAGGGGUGAAGGGAGUUGAGGAAAAAAUCUCUUUCUAAAAUUCAGGUUAAAAAUAGCAUCUCAAGGAAAAUGACCUUUGUUAGGACACAAGGGGGAGAUCCUGUAUUUGAGAGCUUGGCCUGGUCAGUCCAGAUACACGAUGUCCUUGAUACCCUGUCAACCUCUGUGUAGCUAAAUCUGGAGACAGCAGAACUGUGGUCCAGCCUGCCCUUUCUUCCAAGCCCAGACUCUCUCCACUGCACUGAAGUGAAGAAUCAGCUGAUCCCUCCUUCCCUUCUCCCCAGUUUCCCUGAACCCCUCAGGAAUUUGAGGUUUCUUCCCAUAGGUAGCACACCCCCCACCCCCCAUGCCAAGGUUAACAUAAUAAAAAAUGAAUGAAAAGCAA